UAUAAAACAAGACUAAGACAAUGUUGCUGUGAAAAAUUCAAAGAUGUGCAAACUUGCAUCUUGAGCCACAUCCUGCCUUCUUACACCGUCUCAUCUUUAGGGAAUGCAUGUCUGAUGCCAGGGACAGACAGCCUCAACUCAGUGGACAUGGCCACCAGGAGGAGUUUCCCGGACUGGGCAUGUGUAUUUUACCCUCAUGGAGCUUCAGAAGGAUGCUAUCAUAAGGCUGAAGUACUGGAGUCCUGGCCACAGGAAUGUGGUGGCCCUUGGCUUUUUGUGUAACUUUGUACCUGGCAUCUACUCUGGGCAUAGCCUGCACUAGGAUCUAAGGGAAUGGGGAGAGAAUGCCAGCAGAGUCUCUUCAAGGCCUUUGGGGGAGGAGCUCAAAUGGUCUAUAUCUUUACAAAGGCUCUGAGGACAUACAUAGAAGAGUGUAUUCAUGAAGAACAAGAGAACAUAGAAAGGACAUAACAUGAAUUUCAUGGUAUCAUGAGCACUAACACAAUAGGCCAGAGUGCUCAUCUUGGAACAAUAAAAAGUGAAUCAUUUGUCCUAGAUUUCUGCA
rnacentral:lncRNA from 12 species